rnacentral:misc_RNA from 1 species
UCGAAAUUAUUGGUGAGGGUUGUAGCUGGCCUUUCGAGGCAUGUGCACGCUCGAGCCCUUAAUCCACUUUACACCUGUGCACUUAAUGUAGGUCGCCCUUAAAAAAGGUGACCUAUGUCUUAUCAUCAACCCAUCGUAUGUCUCAUAGAAUGUAAAUCAAUAUCCUCGCCUUAAAAAAGCGUUGAUAAACUUUAUA